rnacentral:tRNA from 1 species
GCCCCCGUAGCUCAGUUGGAUAGAGCGGCACCGUCCUAAGGUGCGCGUCGGCGGUUCGAGUCCGUCCGGGGGCG